rnacentral:rRNA from 1 species
UAGGAAUCUUGCGCAAUGGACGAAAGUCUGACGCAGCGACGCCGCGUGGAGGAAGACUGCCCUAGGGUUGUAAACUCCUUUCAGUAGUGAAGAAAAUGACUGUAACUCCAGAAGAAGCACCGGCCAACUAUGUGCCAGCAGCCGCGGUGAGACAUAGGGUGCAAGCGUUGUCCGGAAUUACUGGGCGUAAAGGGCUCGUAGGCGGUUUUUAAAGUCGGAAGUGAAAUUUCCAAGCUCAACUUGGAACGGCCUUUCGAUACUAGAAGACCAGAGUUUGGCAGAGGAGAGUAGAAUUCUCAGUGUAGCGGUAAAAUGCGUAAAUAUUGGGAGGAAUACCAACAGCGAAGGCAGCUCUCUGGGCCAAAACUGACGCUGAUGAGCGAAAGCAUGGGUAGCAAAC